rnacentral:hammerhead_ribozyme from 1 species
GCACUGUUGAAGAGUCCUGUAAUAGGACGAAACAGCAGUCCAGUGC